GACGAACGCCGGCGGCGUGCUUAACACAUGCAAGUCGAACGGUAAGGCUCCGGCUUGCUGGGGUACACGAGUGGCGAACGGGUGAGUAACACGUGGGUGACCUGCCCUGCACUUCGGGAUAAGCCUGGGAAACUGGGUCUAAUACCGGAUAGGACCGCACCGUGAGGGUGUGGUGGAAAGUUUUUUCGGUGUGGGAUGGGCCCGCGGCCUAUCAGCUUGUUGGUGGGGUAAUGGCCUACCAAGGCGGCGACGGGUAGCCGGCCUGAGAGGGUGGACGGCCACAUUGGGACUGAGACACGGCCCAGACUCCUACGGGAGGCAGCAGUGGGGAAUAUUGCACAAUGGGCGGAAGCCUGAUGCAGCGACGCCGCGUGGGGGAUGACGGCCUUCGGGUUGUAAACUCCUUUCACCAUCGACGAAGGGUUUCUGACGGUAGAUGGAGAAGAAGCACCGGCUAACUACGUGCCAGCAGCCGCGGUAAUACGUAGGGUGCGAGCGUUGUCCGGAAUUACUGGGCGUAAAGAGCUCGUAGGUGGUUUGUCGCGUCGUCUGUGAAAUUCCGGGGCUUAACUCCGGGCGUGCAGGCGAUGCGGGCAUAACUUGAGUACUGUAGGGGAGACUGGAAUUCCUGGUGUAGCGGUGAAAUGCGCAGAUAUCAGGAGGAACACCGGUGGCGAAGGCGGGUCUCUGGGCAGUAACUGACGCUGAGGAGCGAAAGCAUGGGGAGCGAACAGGAUUAGAUACCCUGGUAGUCCAUGCCGUAAACGGUGGGCGCUAGGUGUGGGUUUCCUUCCACGGGAUCCGUGCCGUAGCUAACGCAUUAAGCGCCCCGCCUGGGGAGUACGGCCGCAAGGCUAAAACUCAAAGGAAUUGACGGGGGCCCGCACAAGCGGCGGAGCAUGUGGAUUAAUUCGAUGCAACGCGAAGAACCUUACCUGGGCUUGACAUAUACAGGAUCGCGCCAGAGAUGGUGUUUCCCUUGUGGCUUGUAUACAGGUGGUGCAUGGUUGUCGUCAGCUCGUGUCGUGAGAUGUUGGGUUAAGUCCCGCAACGAGCGCAACCCUUGUCUUAUGUUGCCAGCACGUUGUGGUGGGGACUCGUAAGAAACUGCCGGGGUUAACUCGGAGGAAGGUGGGGAUGACGUCAAAUCAUCAUGCCCCUUAUGUCCAGGGCUUCACACAUGCUACAAUGGUCGGUACAGUGGGUUGCCAGUCCGUGAGGGCGAGCUAAUCCCGCAAAGCCGGUCUCAGUUCGGAUCGGGGUCUGCAACUCGACCCCGUGAAGUCGGAGUCGCUAGUAAUCGCAGAUCAGCAACGCUGCGGUGAAUACGUUCCCGGGCCU
rnacentral:rRNA from 1 species